CCUACGGAGGCUGCAGUGGGGAAUAUUGGACAAUGGGGGGAACCCUGAUCCAGCCAUGCCGCGUGUGUGAAGAAGGCCCUCGGGUUGUAAAGCACUUUCAGUGAGGAAGAACGCCUGGUGGUUAAUACCCAUCAGGAAAGACAUCACUCACAGAAGAAGCACCGGCCAACUCCGUGCCAGCAGCCGCGGUAAUACGGAGGGUGUGAGCGUUAAUCGGAAUUACUGGGCGUAAAGCGCGCGUAGGUGGCUUGAUAAGCCGGUUGUGAAAGCCCCGGGCUCAACCUGGGAACGGCAUCCGGAACUGUCAAGCUAGAGUGCAGGAGAGGAAGGUAGAAUUCCCGGUGUAGCGGUGAAAUGCGUAGAGAUCGGGAGGAAUACCAGUGGCGAAGGCGGCCUUCUGGACUGACACUGACACUGAGGUGCGAAAGCGUGGGUAGCAAACAGGAUUAGAUACCCCGGUAGUC
rnacentral:rRNA from 1 species